GGCGGCUCUCCAGUGACGUACCCUGGAAUCAGGCUCCCUCCUCUCUGGUUCCGGGUGCGUCAUCUGAGAACCACA
rfam:Myotis davidii contig72962, whole genome shotgun sequence.